rnacentral:rRNA from 1 species
CUUCGGGUCGUAAAGCUCUGUUGUUAGGGAAGAACAAGUAUCGGAGUAACUGCCGGUACCUUGACGGUACCUAACCAGAAAGCCACGGCUAACUACGUGCCAGCAGCCGCGGUAAUACGUAGGUGGCAAGCGUUGUCCGGAAUUAUUGGGCGUAAAGCGCGCGCAGGCGGUCCUUUAAGUCUGAUGUGAAAGCCCACGGCUCAACCGUGGAGGGUCAUUGGAAACUGGGGGACUUGAGUACAGAAGAGGAAAGCGGAAUUCCACGUGUAGCGGUGAAAUGCGUAGAGAUGUGGAGGAACACCAGUGGCGAAGGCGGCUUUCUGGUCUGUAACUGACGCUGAGGCGCAAAAGCGUGGGGAGCAAACAGGAUUAGAUACCC